rnacentral:lncRNA from 10 species
GAUGAUAUGGAGAGCCUUGGAAGGUUUCUAAGCAGGUAACUGAUUGAUGAGGGCAAUGCUGAAAAUGGUGAACCUUGCAGGAUGGUGCCUGGCAGAGAUCCUCUAAGCAGGGAGCCAAAUAUGAGCCUCUUGGGGAAACCGAGAUUUAGGAUGCUACAUCUGGACUUGUGGAUGGCAGAGGAAAUGUCUGAGAUGGCCUUGAAGAGAGAUUUCAGUGGAAGAAACACAAGCCUGUGGCAUGUAAGACGUUCCUGCUUCCUCUUCGCCUUCCACCAUGAUUGAAAGUUUCCUGAGGCCUCCUCAGCCAUGCUUCCUGUAUAGCCAGCAGAACUGUGAGCCAAUUAAACCUCUUUUCUUUAUAAAUUACCCAGUCUCAGGUAUUUCUUUAAUAGCAGCGCGAGAACGGACUAAUACAGUGUCCGGAAUUGGUGGGUUCUUGGUCUCACUGACUUCAAGAAUGAAGCCGCGGAUCCUCGUGGUGAGUGUUACAGCUCUUAAGGUGGCACGUCUGGAGUCUGUUCCUUCUGAUGUUCGGAUGUGUUAGGAGUUUCUUCCUUCUGGUGGGUUCGUGGUCUCGCUGUCUCAGGAGUGAAGCUGCAGACCUUCCCGAUGAGUGUUACAGCUCUCAAGGCAGCGCGUCUGGAGUUGUUCGUUCCUUCUGGUGGGCUCAUGGGCUCGCUGGCUUCAGGACAGAAGCUGCAGAUCUUCAUGGUGAGUGUUACAGCUCAUAAAAGCAGUGUGGAUCCGAAGAGUGAGCAGUAGCAAGAUUUAUCACAAAGAGCAAAAGAACAAAACUUCCACAGUGUGGAAGGGUACCC